CAAUAGCGUAUAUUAAAGUUGUUGCAGUUAAAAAGCUCGUAGUUGAAUUUUUGCUUGCCGCCGAUGUCGGAACUUCCGUACGUUCGGCGGCGUGCAUCCUUGGGUGGAACCUGUGUGGCAUUAGGUUGUCGUGCAGGGGAUGCUCAUCGUUUACUGUGAAAAAAUUAGAGUGUUCAAAGCAGGCUUAUGCCGUUGAAUAUAUUAGCAUGGAAUAAUAAGAUAGGACCUUGGUACUAUUUUGUUGGUUUGCGCACCGAGGUAAUGAUUAACAGGGACAGUUGGGGGUAUUCGUAUUCCAUUGUCAGAGGUGAAAUUCUUGGAUUUCUGGAAGACGAACUACUGCGAAAGCAUUUACCAAGGAUGUUUNCAUUAG
rnacentral:rRNA from 1 species